GACGAACGCUGGCGGCGUGCCUAAUACAUGCAAGUCGACCUUAGUGGCGGACGGGUGAGUAAUGCCUAGGAAUCUGCCUGGUAGUGGGGGAUAACGUCCGGAAACGGGCGCUAAUACCGCAUACUAUCAUAUGAGCCUAGUUUGGAUUAGCUAGGUGGUGGGGUAACGGCCUACAAAGGCGACGCUCCGUAACUGGUCUGAGAGUAGUAUCAGUCACACUGGAACUGAUACACGUGCCAGACUCCUACGGGAGGCAGCAGUGGGGAAUAUUGGACAAUGGGCGAAAGCCUGACCCAGCCAUGCCGCGUGUGUGAAGAAGGUCUUCGGAUGGUAAAGCACUUUAAGUUGGGAGGCGUUACCAACAGAAUAAGCACCGGCUAACUUCGUGCCAGCAGCCGCGGUAAUAC
rnacentral:rRNA from 1 species